CAGACAGAUGCCGGAGGAAUUACAUUCCACGUCCGAAGGUCGCGGGUUCGAGUCCCGCCCUGCCGCCAACAAACUUCUAUGGCAGGAUAGCUCAGGGGUAGAGCAUCGGAAGAGAAUUUCUCCAACACCUAGCUGCCUGCUG
rnacentral:Y_RNA from 1 species